rnacentral:ncRNA from 1 species
CCUUAUCAAGAGCGGCUGAGGGUACAGGCCCGUUGAAGCCCGGCAACCUGUUUUUCAAGGUGCCAAUUCCUGCGGCGCGGCAAGGCCUGCUUGCUAAACCGAAAGAUGAG